rnacentral:rRNA from 1 species
UGCCAGCAGCCGCGGUAAUACGGGGGGAGCUAGCGUUGUUCAGAAUUACUGGGCGUAAAGCGUGCGUAGGCGGAUCGACAAGUCUGAUGUGAAAGCCCGGGGCUCAACCCCGGAAGUGCAUUGGAAACUGGCGAACUUGAGUACGGGAGAGGAAAGUGGAAUUCCGAGUGUAGGGGUGAAAUCCGUAGAUAUUCGGAGGAACACCAGUGGCGAAGGCGGCUUUCUGGACCGAUACUGACGCUGAGACGCGAAUGCGUGGGGAGCAAACAGGAUUAGAUA